GGUCCCAAGGGUAUGGCUGUUCGCCAUUUAAAGAGGUACGCGAGCUGGGUUUAGAACGUCGUGAGACAGUUUGGUCCCUAUCUGCUGUGGGCGCUGGAGACUUGAGAGGAGCUGCUCCUAGUACGAAAGGACCGGAGUGGACAUACCUCUGGUGUUCCAGUUGUCACGCCAGUGGCAUUGCUGGGUAGCUAUGUAUGGACGGGAUAACCGCUGAAAGCAUCUAAGCGGGAAGCCUCCCUCAAGAUUAGGUCUCCCUGGAUCCUAGAGAUCCCUGAAGGGCCGUUGAAGACUACAACGUUGAUAGGCGGGAUGUGUAAGUGCAGUAAUGUAUUGAGCUAACCCGUACUAAUUGCCCGUGAGGCUUGACCAU
rnacentral:rRNA from 1 species